CGGGGCGUAGCGCAGCCCGGUAGCGCACUCGCUUGGGGUGCGAGGGGUCGUGGGUUCAAAUCCCGCCGCCCCGACCA
rnacentral:tRNA from 7 species